rnacentral:rRNA from 1 species
UACGGAGGGUGCGAGCGUUGUCCGGAAUCAUUGGGCGUAAAGGGCGCGUAGGUGGCGGGUCAAGCGUGCGGUGAAAGCCUGGGGCUCAACCCCGGGUCGGCCGUGCGAACUGUUUUGCUUGAGCACUGUAGAGGCAGGCGGAAUUCCCGGUGUAGCGGUGGAAUGCGUAGAGAUCCGGAAGAACACCGGUGGCGAAGGCGGCCUGCUGGGCAGUAGCUGACACUGGAGCGCGAAAGCGUGGGGAGCAAACAGG